GGUAUAAUUGGUUUAAAUGUGGAGAUUUGAGUGCCCUCGGUUUGUGUGCACAGAAAAGAAAGAAAAGAAAAUUUUAAUUUUUUCCCUUCUUCUUUCUCCCAGCCCCACACGCGAGACCAUCCUCCCCCAAUUCUUUUCUUCAGCCAGUCGUACGUGAAUCUACAGUUUGCCAGUCGUCCGCGCCACUCACGGCUCAGCCCAACCAUCUUUGCCGCUCAUGCCUCAGCCCAGUCGCUGCCUAGCCGCUGCUUGCCGCUCGACCUCCGCUUUCAGCCAACCGCCUCGCGCACUGACGCUUUCCGCCAGUCGAGUUUUUCGAUUUUUCGUUCCCGUUCUUGCCGUCUGCCAGCCGCCGGCCAAAACCUAAGCGUCGUCUACCAGCUCUGACGCGGACAGUUCUGGUUGUCGCCGGAUUGGGGGUGGUUCCGACGAUCUUUCUGUUUAGAGAUAAGUUUCGGGUUAUUUUGGUAGGUUAUAAUGGUUGUUUUAGUUAAUUCUGGUUUUUCUAAUUGGUUUGGUGAAUAUUUAUGUUAAUUGAAUUUUAGAAUCGAGUUUUGAAACCCUUCACCUUGGCUUAUGUCUGGAUUGGAUUCCAUACUUGGAGCUCAUGUGUAGUUCUUGUUAAGUCGACGACAUUUUGAGACGAUUCAAGCAUUUGACUCAGGUCGAAGAGGGAUUUGAUUAAUGGUUGGGAUUUGUUUGCUAAUUGUUCGACAUAAAUUUGAGGUAAAGAUAGAGAUAGACCGACGAAUGACAAGAGAGAUCCGGGACAGGUAAGAUAGAGACAAAUGACAAGAGAGAUCCGGGACAGGUAAGAUAGAUCCGGGACAGGUAAAGGUAGAGAUAGAUCGAUCCUUCAAGAAAUGUAUUACCAAGCCUAGAUAAACUGUGAUAUUUUGUUAUUAGUUGUAAAUAUUUUGGUUCAUUUUUCUAUAUUUAAAAACAACUUUACUAAGUGCUAUUAAUAUUUUUUUAAUUUAAAAUUAAUUAACUUAUCCGUUGCUGUUUAAUGAUAAUCAAUUCAAGUUAAAUAUACCUAUGACACUAAAAAAUAGCCAUAGAAGUC